GCUUACCCAUCGAAGGGAAAACUGACGGUUUCGUUGGCCCCGUCCUCCUCGCGCCCUUCGGGGCUCGGGGUGGAAAUGAGGCGUGCCCCGUGUUCCACGCGUGCCUCGCGAGCGAUUGCGCGGCCGUCUUGGCCCACGGGGUCUCUGCCCGUUCUCUCGGAUGCGGAAUGUGAUGCGCGGGCGUGGGGUUUCGGCCUCGUUCCGUCCGAGCUAAGCAUUCGUCCCUCGACGCGAACGACGGCCGCGCCCGUUUUGAUCGCCCGCGAGGGCGGCUCAUGCGGGCGUCGGCGUCGCGAAGGAAUGCUACCUGGUUGAUCCUGCCAGU
rnacentral:misc_RNA from 1 species